CGGCAGGCCUAACACAUGCAAGUCGAGCGGAAACGAUCCUAGCUUGCUAGGAGGCGUCGAGCGGCGGACGGGUGAGUAACACGUGAGAAUCUGCCCAUUAGUGGGGGAUAACCUGGGGAAACCCAGGCUAAUACCGCAUAAUCUCUACGGAGGAAAGCAGGGGAUCUUCGGACCUUGUGCUGAUGGAUGAGCUCGCGUCGGAUUAGCUUGUUGGUGAGGUAAUGGCUCACCAAGGCGACGAUCCGUAGCUGGUCUUAGAGGAUGAUCAGCCACACCGGGACUGAGACACGGCCCGGACUCCUACGGGAGGCAGCAGUGGGGAAUCUUGGACAAUGGGGGCAACCCUGAUCCAGCCAUGCCGCGUGUGUGAAGAAGGCCUUCGGGUUGUAAAGCACUUUCAGUAGGGAGGAAGGCUUAUCCUUAAUACGGGUGAGUACUUGACGUUACCUACAGAAGAAGCACCGGC
rnacentral:rRNA from 1 species